rnacentral:rRNA from 1 species
AGCCCUAAACUUAAUAAUUCCAUAACAAAAUUACUCGCCAGAGAACUACAAGCCAGAGCUUAAAACUCAAAGGACUUGGCGGUGCUUUAUACCCACCUAGAGGAGCCUGUUCUAUAAUCGAUAAACCCCGAUAAACCUUACCACUCUUUGCCAACUCAGCCUAUAUACCGCCAUCUUCAGCGAACCCUAAAAAGGAACAAAAGUAAGCUCAAUUAUCCCCAUAAAAACGUUAGGUCAAGGUGUAGCCCAUAGAGUGGAAAGUAAUGGGCUACAUUUUCUACUUCAGAACAUACGAAAGCCCUUAUGAAAUUCUAAGAGCCAAAGGAGGAUUU